rnacentral:sRNA from 1 species
GCACCGCCAGGCGCGUGGUUCGAGAAGGC